ACGUCAUAGGAGGACUGCCGGCGGUCAAGCCGGAGGAAGGUGGGGAUGACGUCAAGUCAUCAUGCCCCUUAUGUCCUGGGCUGCACACGUGCUACAAUGGUCGGUACAAAGGGCUGCGAUACCGCGAGGUGGAGCGAAUCCCAGAAAGCCGGUCUCAGUUCGGAUUGGGGUCUGCAACUCGACCCCAUGAAGUCGGAGUCGCUAGUAAUCGCAGAUCAGCAACGCUGCGGUGAAUACGUUCCCGGGCCUU
rnacentral:rRNA from 1 species